rnacentral:rRNA from 1 species
AACGCUGGCGGCGUGCCUAAUGCAUGCAAGUCGAGCGAACAGACGAGGAGCUUGCUCCUCUGACGUUAGCGGCGGACGGGUGAGUAACACGUGGAUAACCUACCUAUAAGACUGGGAUAACUUCGGGAAACCGGAGCUAAUACCGGAUAAUAUAUUGAACCGCAUGGUUCAAUAGUGAAAGACGGUUUUGCUGUCACUUAUAGAUGGAUCCGCGCCGCAUUAGCUAGUUGGUAAGGUAACGGCUUACCAAGGCAACGAUGCGUAGCCGACCUGAGAGGGUGAUCGGCCACACUGGAACUGAGACACGGUCCAGACUCCUACGGGAGGCAGCAGUAGGGAAUCUUCCGCAAUGGGCGAAAGCUUGACGGAGCAACGCCGCGUGAGUGAUGAAGGUCUUCGGAUCGUAAAACUCUGUUAUUAGGGAAGAACAAAUGUGUAAGUAACUAUGCACGUCUUGACGGUACCUAAUCAGAAAGCCACGGCUAACUACGUG